UCCCCACCUGCUUCCCCUGUGCUUGCCACAGAAAUAUACCUAAUAAGCAGAGCACCGUGCAGGAGAACCUAUAGCGCAAAGCCAUCGCAACAACACAUGGCUCAUGCAGGAGAGACAGAGCGGCAGUCAUCCCUGCUUGCCAAGUGUUCAUUUCCCUUUCAACAAGAACCAAACAGACUGGGAUGCAAUUUUUCCAGAGCAAACACAACCAGAUGGAGAAGAGCAAAGGUGCUGUUUGAUUUCCAUCCAACUCCUACAAGCUGAUGAAAAAUAUGCUACCAUCUCAGCAAAACUUCAGUUCAAGGGAUCGUUGUAUUUGACCACAUUUCUGAAAAUGUAACUUUUGAACAAAUAGUUUAAAAGUGCAAUACAAACCCCCACAAUGUAUGGGCCAUGCUAGGAAAUAAAAGGCAGACAUCAAAUUUCAA